AGAGUACGGGCCUCAACAGGGCUUUAGUAGCGCAGUUGCCCUCUUCAGCAGGAAAAAGAUUGGACAAGGUUCAGAGAGUAGGGGCGUUUAUUGAGUGUUUGCCAACUUGUAGCAUUUUUACCGCACUAGGUCGCGAAUUUAUAGGGUGUUCGUGGCGCGUCCAAAAUCAGCUUAUCACAGUCGUUCAUCUCGCCCCACCUGUCCGUGUUCUCCCUUCGCACAACCGUAGAGAAUCUCAUCUCCUUCGGCGCCCUUUCUCGCGUGUUUACAGCGCCUCAGUAGUGCGCGUACAUUGCCUGGGUAUAUAUUUUCCAGCCGAUUAUUUUAAUUCAUUUGAACCUUAUCCACUUCUCUCACUAGGGUUUUCAGAUGGGUUAAGGUCCUUAAGGAGCUCUAUGGCCGUUGUUCGUAUCUGUUAAGGGCUUCUCAUCUAGGGCCUCAUCUCUGCUUUGGGUGAUGUAUUCACCUUUCGGAUCAUUUUGAUUUAUAUGGAAGCUUUUGGUUUCUAGGUUGUUAGAGUUUUUAGAUGGUUCUCUAGCAUUCUAGAAUUUGUUUCCUUGUAAUGAGUUUUUGUUGGAACGGUUUUGUCCCGGAAAUGCCAAAGGGGGAGAUUGUUAAUGUAAUUGGCGAUUUCCGGAUGCGACAAACCGUUGGAGUCUGUAUUUAUUCUUUUUCCAUUUGGGUUGGGAGGUGAUUUUAUUUUGUCUAGAUUAGAUACUCCGCCCGUUGGUUCAAGAGUUGAUCACGAAGGCCGUGCCGUGCAUUUUGCUUGGAAAGGUAUAUGCAUCUCAUGUGCAUUUAGCUUAAUAUUUUUCCAUGCAUCAUUAAAGCUAUUCGGUGUCUUAAUCUUUUAUGAAAUAUCAUUUAUGCACUAACCUUAUAUUAUUGGCCAUGUUUUAUUUGAAGGGAAAUUUUGUCUAAGGCCUUUUUAAGUGCUUGCGCCUUAGCAGCGCCUUAGCAGCGCCUUACCAGACUAAGGCCCUUGCACGCGUGUUAAGAGAGCCUUAGUAGUGCCUUAGCCGAGUAAGGCCCUUGUACGCGUGCUAAGAGCGCCUUUAGAGGGCUCUCCAGGAUUUUUCUUGCUUGGCCAUAUAUAAGCUUGAUUUUCAUUUUUCUAGGGCAAGAAGAGAUAACAAUAGCCCACUUUAGAGAGAGAAAACAUUAUCUCUUUUGCUCUUGUGCUUUCAUUUGCAUUUGGAUGAUUUGAAUCUAGCAUUCAAUCAUCUUUGUUCAAUCUAGAGAAAUACUUUCUUGAUUCAUGUAUUCUCUCUAGUUUGAUUCUUUUGCAUAAAAAUCUUCACUUUACAAAAUCCAUACUUUCAUGCCUAUGAUACUACUUGGCCGGAUGAUACCGGAGCCGUGGUGAACAGAGAUCGAGGCGUUGGACUCGUGGUGGCUAUGGGAUCAAGAAGGAGUUCGGGGAGCUACAUCAAAGUGGUGGAGUUAGGAUAAGCUUUUGGGGUAAAGUUGUUAUUCCUCUCUUAGCACUUUGUAAACCUUUUGAUCUAUAGCAACUUUGGUAGUUAGGCCGUGGUUUUAAGCUUAGGGUGUGAUUGACCCUAAGUAGUUUCCACGUAUAUCUCGGUAUUUGCGUUCUUUAGAAUAAUUGCUCUUAACUUAUAUUAUUAAUUUGGAUAGCAUUGGCAUGGAGUUUGGAUAGUAACUUGAAUUGUUUAAGUUGGAGGUUGAGUUAAUUUAAAUCGGUCGUCCCAUUCACCCCCCCUCUGGGACUUUGUAGUGCAUCAGAUAAUUUCAGUGGUGUUGGUGGCGGUGAUGGUGAUGGAGUGGUGGUGGUGGUGGUGGUGGUGAUGGAGGUGGUGGAGGAGUGGUGGUGGCGGCGACGUGGUGGUGGUCAUUAUGAUGGUGGUGGUGGUGGUGGUUAUGUGGUUGCAAUAAAAUGGAAAAAAAUGAAAAAA